rnacentral:lncRNA from 1 species
CCUUUGUUUUGAGUGUUCGAUUUUGUUCCUGGACAAAAUGUCCCUUUAAAACAGCUACCAACAUUUCAUAAUUCAUUGUUUGCCAUGAAAUCAGCGGGUUUGUAAUUUUGUUUCCUAGAUACCUUGAGAGCAGCCCAGGAGUGUCCUUGAUAAAGGAAAUGACUCUUCUAUUCACUGAAUGCUUAUUGUGAAUAGAGAAUCAAGACUGUUUCCAUCAUCAAUGUGUCCUGGGUUUAUCUGAAAACUUUAAUGAUCUAAAGCCACACAGAACUACACAGAGUGACUUCAUUCCUGACAAAAGCCCUCAUGGGACCAUGCUGAGAAUGUAGAUGCUGUGGUGAGCAAAGGCUCCCCUCUGCUCUGUGCUGCCAGGAAGGAGCUGCUGACUUUGACAAAACUGUCCUCUGCCGAUUACCUACACUCAAAAAAAUUUCCUCCCCCAAAAUUCUGUGUUGUUUAAAUGACAUCUUCUGAGAGCCUAGUCUAAUGCCUCAAACAUAGAAGGUACUCAAAAUUCAUCUGGGGAAGAGAACUCAGUCACUUAUUAUCAGAAUAUUAAAGGUAAUACACAAAGGUUGUGUGUGAACUGGGCCCCUCAAGAUCAAUAGAAUUAGUCCAAGGGUAGACGAUGACUUCAUAGUUAUUUGUGAACAGGAAGUAAAUAAUAUAUUAAUCAAUGUACUCCAGCUAAAAAGAACCAACAUAUAAUGGGAUGUACUAUAAUGCAUUGAAUCAGACAAUUACGGAAGCUGAGAAGUCCCACAAGCUAGAGACUCAGGAAAGCUAGUGGUGCUGUCAACAGCUAAUGGUGUCGAUCCUAGCCCCAGUCUGAAGACCUGAGAACCAGCAGUGCUGAAAGUGGUAGACGAAUUCCAAGUUCAGUCAGGCAGAGAAAGAGUUCAACCUUCUCCCACCUUUGGGUUGUAUGUA